AUUGAACGCUGGCGGCAUGCUUUACACAUGCAAGUCGGACGGCAGCACAGAGAAGCUUGCUUCUUGGGUGGCGAGUGGCGAACGGGUGAGUAACAUAUCGGAACGUACCGAGCAGUGGGGGAUAACUAAUCGAAAGAUUAGCUAAUACCGCAUAUAUUCUGAGGAAGAAAGCAGGGGACCAUUUGGCCUUGCGCUGUUUGAGCGGCCGAUAUCUGAUUAGCUAGUUGGUGGGGUAAAGGCCUACCAAGGCAACGAUCAGUAGCGGGUCUGAGAGGAUGAUCCGCCACACUGGGACUGAGACACGGCCCAGACUCCUACGGGAGGCAGCAGUGGGGAAUUUUGGACAAUGGGCGCAAGCCUGAUCCAGCCAUGCCGCGUGUCUGAAGAAGGCCUUCGGGUUGUAAAGGACUUUUGUCAGGAAAGAAAAAGGCGGGGUUAAUU
rnacentral:rRNA from 1 species